UACGUAGGGGGCUAGCGUUGUCCGGAUUUAUUGGGCGUAAAGAGCGUGUAGGCGGCUUUACAGGUCCGUUGUGAAGACUCGAGGCUCAACCUCGAGACGCCGGUGGAAACCGUAAAGCUAGAGUCCGGAAGAGGAGAGUGGAAUUCCUGGUGUAGCGGUGAAAUGCGCAGAUAUCAGGAGGAACACCCGUGGCGAAAGCGGCUCUCUGGGACGGUACUGACGCUGAGACGCGAAAGCGUGGGGAGCAAACAGG
rnacentral:rRNA from 1 species